GGGUCCAUGGCGUAGUCGGUCAUCGCGCAAGCUUGAAAUUGCGAAUUUGAGGACUCCUGUCCAAACCAGGAUAGAUCCC